UACAGAGGUCUCAAGCGUUGUUCGGAUUCAUUGGGCGUAAAGGGUGCGUAGGUGGCGCCGUAAGUCGGGUGUGAAAUUUCGGAGCUUAACUCCGAAACUGCAUUCGAUACUGCGGUGCUUGAGGACUGGAGAGGAGACUGGAAUUCAUGGUGUAGCAGUGAAAUGCGUAGAUAUCAGGAGGAACACCGAUGGCGAAGGCAGGUCUCUGGGCUGACACUGACGCUCAUGCACGAAAGCGUGGGGAGCAAACAGG
rnacentral:rRNA from 1 species